AAAUGGUAUUUCGUUUGCUGGGUAACAUGCUAAAUAGUCUAUUGACCAUGCGUUGCAUCGUAAUUAUAAUCUGUACUAUCUGCGGAUACAAUUAUCCUAUCUUUGUUGUUUUCUUUAUUAAAGCACACGUGAGCUAGCCAGCUAACAACAUUAGCACGUUAGCAGGCUUUCUAGCUACAUGUAUUGGAAUGCAAUUGUGAAGUGAACUAGCCCGUUUACAGUUCAGCUAGCUAGUGCGUAGAAUGCACGCUUAACUAGCUAUGCCGCGUAGCGUGCCUAGUUUGCUUCAACAUCAUUGAAGUUUGGCAGAGGAUACCAUAAAGCUAGUAAACAUUAUGCAUUCUGAUUAUGACCCCUGUCCUUGUUUUGAAAUGUGGACAGACUUGAAGAUCUAGUGGACUUGGGCCAUUACCAAAGGAUGGGGUUGUUUGCAGGCCUGGACAACAUUUAAAAGUUGUUUGAUGACAGAGAAUGGGGUUGCACUGUGGGAUGAGGUAGUAGGUUGUAUAGUUUUAGGGUCACACCCACACUGGGAGAUAACUAUACAAUCUACUGUCUUUCUCAACGUGACACUGAUACUUCUGUCUCCAACUUGCUUUUAGUACUUUUGAUUUUGAAUAAGGAUGUCCAACAAUCAACUUUCAAAUUAUAUUACAUUCCUUGUUCAACCUUUAUUUUUAUGAUAGAAGAUUUUUGUGACUAAAAUAGAUGUUGUUCACCUCUGAGAAAGUGAUGUAGGGUAUCGCCUGGUUACAAGUCAGUUAUUGCUUAAGCAGUGUGAGGUAGUAGAUUGUAUAGUUCAAGGGUAGGGAUUUUACCCUUUUUAGAUGAUAACUAUACAAUCUAUUGCCUUCCCUGAGAAGCAGAACAUCAUCUUUUCCAAACCAUUUGAAUGACUGCUUAUGUUCUCAAAGUUGUAUUCAGACAGACAUGUUUAUAUUACAAUACCAUAAAUGCAUCUCUGCAUGGUCAAUGCUGAUCUGCAACGGUGCAUGCAAAUUGGGUAAUUGUAGUUUAUAAAUUGCUUGCAUGCUAACCAUUAUGCCUAUGACAAGACAGAUUUCAGAUGGCCUAAAAUGUGUAGUUGUAGCUGAUUUUAUAGUUGGAGGAACAACCUGAAAACCGAAUGACUUACUGUAGCUCUGAAAAUGUAGUGAGGUAAUGCAAUAUAAAGAUAUGCUGAUCUUUGAAAA